GGCAUGUGAUGGCUUUUCUCACGAUGGUCUUCAGAGGCUCCCCCUUGGGGUCACUGCUGAUCUGCCUCAGGGCUUAGCUGAUGCCGAUGU
ensembl:snoRNA